AUACUGAGGCCAAGCAGGGACACCUGUGAAGCAGCCUGGCUAAGAGAGGUAGCUGAGGCUCUGGGAGCUUUGGGCUGGGCCUGCCCAGAUCUAGGGGUUGCCUACAGCAAACCAUGGUUGAGGGAGAAGAACGAGACUGGAAGUCCUAGCAACCUCUGGAGGAGAAGCAGGAGCCCACGCAGGGAUAUACUUCUGGCUACGGCAUUCCUGACAGCACGGUCUGGCCCUACCAGCUGCUGCAAACUAACAGCUCAGCCGUCGCUGAGGAAUACUGGCUGUUUCCAUACCUCUGCACAGCACCUGCAGCAGCGUUCAGCGCCUCCACCCCCUCACCUGCCCUCCCGAGAAGCAAGGCUAUGCUUGUUAGCUGUGCUAUGGCCCCAAGCUCCUCCUGCCUUCAUAAAUCCUGCAUGUUUUCAGGGACCCAGGACAGAGAUGUUGAGGAGGAAGUUGCAAGCACACCCACAGAUAACAGAGCUUGAAAGAAUUCCAGGAAUUGCAAUUAGGUCCCUGCUGUCCUCUAAGAGGAUGAAUGUUUGCCUGAGGGGCCUGCCCUGGAAGCAGGUGGCAGUCCUGCUGAGAAAGGUUUCAGUGAAAGCUCCCGGCAUGUGGAGGCAGGCUCUCGAGGGAAGCAGCUCCUUUUUUCCAAGGAAAGCUCAUUUAGGAUAUGGACUACGUCAUCCUGCAAGAGGAAUUCAAGGAGUGGCCACCUGA
rnacentral:lncRNA from 1 species